rnacentral:piRNA from 1 species
UGGAAGAACAAAAGCUUUAUGUGUGGU